ACAACUCAGGUGAAAUUUUCAAUACUUUUUCUCAAUGUGUCCAUGGAGGUUGUGGUGUUUGUAGUAAUUUCUCUGAAUCAUGUUGGCCUGUUUCUUCUAGUGCUUACCCUUCUAGUUUAUUUUUUGUUGUAUUCUUUUUAAACUUGUCGUGCUCUUGCCUUCUCUAGUUGUAUUAUUAUCCUCAAUCCCCAUAGCUUUCAUGCGAGCUUCAUUGAUGUUUUAAACUUCAAAGAACUUCAAUGCCUUUCGGAUAUUCUUGUGGAGACCUUUGACGACCUUUAUGAAAAUCGUAUGAUUGCCGAUAAAGAUGCCG
rnacentral:lncRNA from 1 species